GCGAGCGUAGUGUAGUGGUUAUCACCUGGCGUUGCCAACGCCAGAACCCGGGUUCAAAUCCCGGCGCUCGCACCA
rnacentral:tRNA from 1 species